rnacentral:rRNA from 1 species
AGCGGGGAAGAGUAGCUUGCUACUUUACCUAGCGGCGGACGGGUGAGUAAUGCUUAGGAAUCUGCCUAUUAGUGGGGGACAACAUCUCGAAAGGGAUGCUAAUACCGCAUACGUCCUACGGGAGAAAGCAGGGGACCUUCGGGCCUUGCGCUAAUAGAUGAGCCUAAGUCGGAUUAGCUAGUUGGUGGGGUAAAGGCCUACCAAGGCGACGAUCUGUAGCGGGUCUGAGAGGAUGAUCCGCCACACUGGGACUGAGACACGGCCCAGACUCCUACGGGAGGCAGCAGUGGGGAAUAUUGGACAAUGGGGGGAACCCUGAUCCAGCCAUGCCGCGUGUGUGAAGAAGGCCUUUUGGUUGUAAAGCACUUUAAGCGAGGAGGAGGCUACCGAGAUUAAUACUCUUGGAUAGUGGACGUUACUCGCAGAAUAAGCACCGGCUAACUCUGUGCCAGCAGCCGCGGUAAUACAGAGGGUGCAAGCGUUAAUCGGAUUUACUGGGCGUAAAGCGCGCGUAGGUGGCCAAUUAAGUCAAAUGUGAAAUCCCCGAGCUUAACUUGGGAAUUGCAUUCGAUACUGGUUGGCUAGAGUAUGGGAGAGGAUGGUAGAAUUCCAGGUGUAGCGGUGAAAUGCGUAGAGAUCUGGAGGAAUACCGAUGGCGAAGGCAGCCAUCUGGCCUAA